AAGCACGUCUAUGAAAUGGCGGGAGUGUUUGGUCACGUGUUGUAUCUCUCUGAUGUUUGCGUUCAAUUGAUUUAAAAAAAAAAAAAAAAACUUGCGCAGUCGCUCCGCGCAGCCGCCAGCUGGGCUGAGGUUGACGGCGCAGCCAUUUCUGCCUCAGAAGGAGAAAAAAAGCCACGCAGCACUCAGUGAGUGUGGUUUAUUCAUCAUGGAGUUGACUGGGUCACCACUCUGUAGCAGCUGGAGCUAUGGCGAACAGACACGAUGUUUUUAAACUGGCGGAGAGCGGUAAACUUUGGACGGAAUCAUCGCCUGCGCAGACAAAACCAGCCCCGGCUUCUCCGCCUGUGCAGCACCACCUCCUCCUCUUCCUCCUCCUCCUCCUCUCUGCUAUCACCGCCUCACAGACAUGGAGGAGAACCUGCCUGGAGGAAGCAGCCACGGAGAGCUGCUACAUGUGAAGACUGAGGCCGUGGAGGAGAAGCCAUCUGCGUCUGCGCCCUGCGGAGAGUCCGCCUGCUUUGGAGCAGAACAGACAGUAGAGGAGCUACACACUGUACACACUGGAUCUACCACUACACCUGUGCUGCUGUAUCCUGUGGGUUCAGACCGGUUUUUCACUGCAUCAGGAGAUGGGAAAACCUACCUGACGAUAGCUCCAGCAUCAGUGAUGCCUCCCGUCCUAUCAGAGAAGACUCUUUCCGCCGGCUCAGAUUUCUCCUCUAAAGCCGUUUUGUGUCUGAUCGAGGCCGUCGGGCGCCGCUGGGGUCUCUAUGAAACCCGGGAGAGGUCGCAGCUGUUUCAGAGUGUACAGGAAGAGAUGGCCUCCAAAGGACACCUACUUCCUGUUGAGAAGAUCCGUCGGAAGUGGAACAACCUGAUUGUGACGUACAAAAGAGUGAAGGACCGCAGCCGGGAGACGGGACACGCCAAGACGUCCUGGGAGUUCUUUGAAUUAAUGGACGCUACGCUCUGCAGCACCAUUGGAAGUCAGAUCAUCAACAACAAAAGAAAUAAAAGUCUCAGCACGGUUUCAUCUCCGACCCUCCCCCUACCAAAGAUCACUGUCAAAUCUCCGCUGCAGACCCCCGUCGUCCGUCCUAAGGAAGAUGCUGCGUCCUCUGGCUGUGUAGAGUCAGCAGGUCAGGGUCCGCCCCAAUGUCAGAUUCUUAGUAGCUCUGCUCCCAGCACCUCAGUGGCUUCUCCAACCAUCAGUACAGCCACUGCUGCAGAGUUCAAGCCUCUGGUGCUCGUCAAUGGAGAAAUUGCCACCAGUUCUUUUCACUCGACCUCCAUGGCACCAGCGUCUUCUUUCAUCUCCUCACCUUGUUUUACAGACACACCUUCUACGUCUUCCUUUCUCGGCUCCAAUAGCAAUGCAGAUUUCCACACGUUGGGUUACACAAGCUGUAAAGCUCACUCCUUCACAUCAGGUGUCACACCUUACCGACUCAGUGUGGCCCCACCCACCCACAAUCAGAGUCUGCACUCUCUCUCCUCAGUGCCCUCCAUCAGCCCCUGCCUCAGUCCAUGUGGAGCCCCCUCGGCAUCUGUAACAAGUUUGUUGGAAAGUGAAGUUCUGAGCCAAAAGGAGAACAAUCAGGAGAGCAGUCCUGCUUUGUUCCAGAAGAAGCUGAAAGGGCAGGAGGAGCAGGCCUAUUUAGAGCGUAUGGCUCAACGCAGAGCUGAAGCCAGGGAGAAGAGGCGUGAGAGGAGGGAGGUGCGUAUGUCAGAGUCACUGGGGAGGAUAGCCACGGCCCUGGAGCUGCUGUCCUCCAAACAGGACACAGUUAUCGCCCUUCUGCAGAGACUGGCCGAUAGGAAGUGAGCGCCAAAGUCAAACACAGGAAAGGAAAAGAGUUCCUUCUGUAAUGAUUUGAAUAAAAAAACAAUUUACCAGAGCA
rnacentral:lncRNA from 1 species